rnacentral:rRNA from 1 species
UACAGAGGUCCCAAGCGUUGUUCGGAUUCACUGGGCGUAAAGGGCGCGUAGGCGGCAUGACAAGUCACUUGUGAAAUCUCCGGGCUUAACUCGGAACGGCCAAGUGAAACUGUCAAGCUAGAGUGCAGAAGGGGCAACUGGAAUUCUCGGUGUAGCGGUGAAAUGCGUAGAUAUCGAGAGGAACACCUGCGGCGAAGGCGGGUUGCUGGGCCGACACUGACGCUGAUGCGCGAAAGCCAGGGGAGCGAACGGG